UCUGACGUCACAAACUACCUUAUCACGUGCAGGCGGGCUUUAGCAUAUCAUUAACUGACGCAACAAGACGCAAAGGAGUCUCAAAAGAAGGUUAUCCCGUGAGAGUUCUGCAGUGUCCCCAUCUUAGAGUGGCUCGAUGGGACAACCCAGCGGGAAAAAACAUGAGGCAAGGUCACAGUACACCCUCCACCCCUCCAAGCAGGAAGUGCCGAAGGGCCUGGCCCAUCAGAGACAGGAAGCACAAAGUGCAAACCAGCAUCCACAACCCACCCCUCCAACCGGGAAGUACACAGAAAUCUUAACCUUGCCCGCAUGCCAGUAACAGUCCUUUUCACAUCUUAUAUAGGCCUACUUGGGCGAUUUGCCGAAACAGCUCUACAAAUGUGUUAAUUGUUUUGUAAGAUGAUUACAUACUGUAUGUCUCUAUCAAUCUUUUACCUUUGCAAUGAGAUACUAUGAAUUAUAUGAUCUUUUAAAGGGCAUUUUACAAUCUAGUUCAGAUGUUUUUCAUGGCAAGAACCAGUGCUGGAUCUAGGCAUGGGCAGUGGUAGGCCGAGCCCACCCAAACAUCUGUCUUGCCCAACCAAUCAGACUUUAGGCAAAGAUAGUGUUGUUCUUUUAUGAGUUGUGCACUGAUUAAAAUCAGUUUGAAGUGG